AUGCCUUGUCAAGAGUUAAAGUACAUGGUCUCUAUGCUCUAUGCUAGUGCCAACACUCCCACAUGGGUCAAAGAAGUAGUACAAAGCUACAAGUCUGACAGCAAGGUGCAGGACCUAAUAGCUGAAUGCACUGUCAGUAAAGACACCAACACUGCUUACUCUUACAAGAAUGGAAUUCUACGAUUCCAUAACAAAAUUGUGGUAGGCACGGCAACUACACUCAGACAAGACAUCUUGAAAACCUUCCAUGCUUCUGAAUUAGGAGGACACUCCGGAGAAAGAGCAACAUAUCAAAGAGUUAAACUUGUCUUUCACUGGCAGGGCCUUAAACAAGAUGUCAUUGCUUUUGUCAAAGAAUGCCCAGUAUGCCAACUCAACAAAGCUGAACACACUCCCUAUCCGGGCCUCCUGGACCCAUUGCCUGUCCCUGAUUUUGCCUGGGCACACAUCAGCAUGGACUUUGUGGAAGGUCUGCCCGUGUCUGAAAACAAAGAUGUCAUAUUGGUGGUGGUGGACAGGUUCACCAAAUAUGCACACUUCAUAGCUAUGAAGCACCCUAUCACAGUGCAGUCGGUGGCAAGAGCAUUUGUAUGGUUUUCCUCCCCCAAUGGUUGCAGAAUCAGCUCUCCCUGGCACAAUUUGUGA
rnacentral:rRNA from 1 species